ACCUGGUUGGCUCAGUCGGUAGAGCAUGGGAUUCCUGAUCUCAGGGUUGUAAGUUUGAGCCCUACACUGGGUG